CAAGAAGCUCUUACCCUCCACUCAGG
rnacentral:piRNA from 1 species